GAGGUAUGCCCCUACACAUUUCAUCUGGAUGUCAGACUUCUUCAAGGUCUUCUGAAGUAGGAGUAGGAGGUGGCUUCAACAAGGAAGGAGUAGGUCCAAGCAAGAUUGGAGAGAGAGAGGAUGUAUCUUGUGAAAAGGUCAGAUCUGGGGGAAAGAGCUGUGAAGGCUUUUCAGUCUCCCAAAAGUCACAAAGAGCCUCUGGCCCUGUCUCCACUCCUACUGAAGCUUAGGAUGCUGAUCAUGCUGGUCCAUCCACACACGUGUUGCCACCAUGGAAACGCAGUCUCGGUGUGUCUUCUAGACCAGUACACAUCACACCACCACGUCGACGCAUGUCGGAGGUAUCAGCUGUGCCACUAAUGCAACUCCUUGACAGUCUGCAGCCAUUGUCACAACAUUCACCACACCUGUCUGGGAUUACCAUUCUUCACCCAACUCAGCCAGGUCAAGAGCAGCAACCUGACAAUGAAGACACAUUUACCUUAACUCUGACAGCAAUACCACCGCCUGACCCAACAUCUACACAUUUGUCCACUCCGCCCACUCAAAGGACACCUGAACAGGUCAUACAUAAGCCCUACCACAGUCUCAGGAACAGGCUUUUUGGGGCAGCUACCAAUUUAUUGGUAAGGCCCAUAUAGACGGGCCGAUGUGCGAGAGAUGUGUGCUAGGCGAACCGCUCAGCACACAUCUCUCCCCCCGCUCAGCACAGCGCGAUGUGUGCUGAGUGCGCGGGGGGAGACGGGGGGGCCGCUCAUUUCACCCAGCGGGAGAAGUGAGCGACGUGCUAGAUUGGCCUGCACGGCAGGCCAAUCUAACACCAGCGAUAGCGAUGCGCGGGGCUGCGCAUCGCUAUCGCUGUAGGGGGUACACACGGAGCGAUAAUGCUUAAAUUCUAAGCAAUCUAGUCAGAUUGCUUAGAAUAUCGCUCCGUGAAUACCCCCCUUUAGUCUGGCCCAUCACAUACCCAGAUUAUGCAGAAGCAACAGCAGACAAACCACAGAACUCACCAGAACAGCUAACACCCUGGAAUUAAUGAGGACAGACAAUAAUAGGAUGCUAGACACAUACCAAAGAAUCAUGGAUGAGAAUCACAGGCUCCAUCAAUCCUGCCUGCAGAUAUUAACAGCAACCUAAAACAUACAAGAGAGAGCAUGGUCCAAAUCAUGGAAACCCUCACAACAGCCACUAGAGACUUGAAUGAUACUGUAACAACCCUAACACAGCAUCUCAGUCAUCAAUCAGAGCAAACAAGCACCAGUUAGACAGCCACAACCUCCUUAGUGUCACCUGUGACCUCGCCACCAAGACGUUCUUCCCGAACACAACCAGACACAAGUGGGAGACGCCCAUCCAGCUCCAGAGGACGACCGGCAAAAUAAUUGAUCAUAAUCAUGUGUUUGAAAUGGACAUUGGUAAUUGUAUGCAAGUAGCAUUUUACAUGUUCUGGUCACAAUUAGGGCCAUGGUUUAAUUUUUGUAAA